rnacentral:rRNA from 1 species
CAGCAGCCGCGGUAAUUCCAGCUCCAAUAGCGUAUAUUAAAGUUGUUGCAGUUAAAAAGCUCGUAGUUGAAUUUCGGGACCAAUUUGUUGGUCGUGCCUCGGUACGUACUGGUAUUAUUGGUUUCUCCCUUCUGAAGAACCUUGAUGUCAUUAAUUUGGUGUCUUGGGGAAUCAGGACUGUUACUUUGAAAAAAUUAGAGUGUUUAAAGCAGGCAUACGCUUGAAUACAUUAGCAUGGAAUAAUGAAAUAGGACGUUUGAUUCUAUUUUGUUGGUUUCUAGGAUCGACGUAAUGAUUAAUAGGGAUAGUUGGGGGCAUUAGUAUUCAAUUGUCAGAGGUGAAAUUCUUGGAUUUAUUGAAGACUAACUACUGCGAAAGCAUUUGCCAAGGAUGUUUUCAUUAAUCAAGAACGAAAGUUAGGGGAUCGAAGACGAUCAGAUACCGUCGUAGUCUUAACCAUAAACUAUGCCGACUAGGGAUCGGAUGAUGUUAAUUAUUUAAUGACUC